rnacentral:rRNA from 1 species
GGUUUUGAAGCGUUCUACCGGCUGGCUGGCGGCGAUUUUGCAGCUCUCAACAGAGCGAUCAUCGUGCUGUUGCCAAAACAGUCCAGCGCAACAAAACUGGCUGAUUUUUGCCCGAUAAGCCUCAUUCACUCAAUGGCCAAACUGAUCGCGAAGGUGCUUUCCAUCAGACUUGUUGGCGUCCUAGAUCAGCUGGUCUCCCCCGCCCAGAGCGCUUUUCAGAAGAAGAAAGGGAUACAUGAC